rnacentral:rRNA from 1 species
AUAUCAAUAAGCGGAGGAAAAGAAACCAACAGGGAUUGCCUCAGUAACGGCGAGUGAAGCGGCAACAGCUCAAAUUUGAAAUCUGGCGUCUUCGGCGUCCGAGUUGUAAUUUGUAGAGGAUGUCUCGGCAAAGCACCGGUCCAAGUACCUUGGAACAGGAUGUCAUAGAGGGUGAGAACCCCGUAUCCGGCCGGCUGUGUCGCCAUGUGAGACUCCUUCGACGAGUCGAGUUGUUUGGGAAUGCAGCUCUAAAUGGGUGGUAAAUUCCAUCUAAAGCUAAAUACUGGCCAGAGACCGAUAGCGCACAAGUA